CCCCUCUUAGGAUGGCACCUGGAGAGUGUCCAGUUUUCUGCCCGUCUCGGCUGUAGGAGGGAGAGUCAAGCAGCGACAUACCCAUUCCAUUCCUAGCUUGGGCAGUGGCUAGCGAGUGGAAGACAAUCGGCCAAAAGU